rnacentral:rRNA from 1 species
GACGAACGCUGGCGGCGCGCUUAACACAUGCAAGUCGAGCGAUGAAACUUUAACAGAACCCUUCGGGGCGAAGAGAAAGUGGAGUAGCGGCGGACGGGUGAGUAACACGUGAGUAACCGGCCUUAGACAUGGGGAUAGCCUCGGGAAACCGGGAUUAAUACCAACUCAAAGCCGAAUGCCACAUGUCAUAACGCCCAAAACUCCGGUGGUCUAGGAUGGACGCGCGUCCCAUUAGCUAGUUGGUAGAGUAAAAGCCUACCAAGGCGACGGUGGGUAGCCGGGCUGAGAGGGUCGGCCGCCACUUUGGAGCUGGGAAGCAGUCCCGACUCCUACGGGAGGGAGGAAUGCGGAAUAUUGCAACGUGGAGGGAACUCUGAUGGAGCUACGCCGCGUGAACGAAGCAGGCUUUCGAGUCGUAAAGUUCUUUUAUAUGGGAAGAUAAUGACGGUACCAAAAGAAAAAGCCCCGGCUAACUACGUG